UUAACCUGUUUGCGAAGUUGCACUUCCGUUUAUGACAAGGAAUCUAUAAAGGUAUUUUGUCCUAGUUUUCGUGAUGUAGGAAUCAAAAUAAAGAUGGCGGACAACCUGUAAAGUAAGGAAUCCUACAAGGCGUUGCCAAGCAACCCUACUCUGUAAUCCAAACGGUUAGAAAAGUCUUCAAGGUUUCGAUAAAUACCAUCAGAGAAGCGUGACAGUAGAGAAAUGAUGAGGAAUAUCAUCUCCAGCCCAGCAGGGUGCCCCAUGAUGAGCUUCACGUUUUAUAUGCUGGUAUGGACUGAAGGUGUAUUAGUCCUGGAUGGAAAAGGAAAAUCCUCGUCAUCAUCUUCCUCCUCCAGCUUUCUCAAAAAGGUCAAGGGUUGCCACUUAGCCCAGAGGGAAGAAAAGCACAUGUGACACUGGAUCCUGGCAGGGCUAAUGGUCAUUACUCGAGCAGACGACCCCCUCCCUCCACCACCCUAAGACCUGCUGCUGGAGGUUCAGAAACCCACUUCCUGGUACUUCGUGUCAAGGUGCCUCGAUACACACACACCACACAAACAGGAAACAGCCCUCUUUCAUGUCCCUCAGACUGCACUCUGUUGAAGUUCUUCUGAAGGGUGCAGCAAGAAAGAGGUGUCCAUCCAUCCAUUUUCAUCCACUUAUCGGGGACCUCCUUACCCUAUCUCUAAGGCUGAGCCCAGCCACCCCACGGAGGAAACUCAUGUCAGCCACUCAUUCUUUCAGUCACUACCCAGAGCUCAUGACCAUAGGUGAGGGUUGGGAUGUAGAAGGACCAGUAAAUCAAAAGCUUCGCCUUCUGGCUCAGCUCUGUCUUCACCACGACGGUCCGACACAGCGCCCGCAUCACUGCAUGCACCAAACCACUGAUUCUCUUUCUUUUCAGAUAUGUUGAUAUCAUGGACAAGGCAGAAAACAGUUUAGUAGCAGCAAAAAGCAGCACGGAGGCCACUGACACUCAUGAAGUAAUGGAGGUUACUCCUUUUUUAUGCCUCUUACUUAUUCAGUCUCUCUAAAACUCGGCGCUGACUAAAUU